rnacentral:rRNA from 1 species
GACGAACGCUGGCGGCGUGCUUAACACAUGCAAGUCGAACGGUAAGGCCCUUCGGGGUACACGAGUGGCGAACGGGUGAGUAACACGUGGGUGAUCUGCCCUGCACUUCGGGAUAAGCCUGGGAAACUGGGUCUAAUACCGGAUAGGACCACUGCCCGCAUGGGUGGUGGUGGGAAGCUUUUGCGGUGUGGGAUGGGCCCGCGGCCUAUCAGCUUGUUGGUGGGGGGAUGGCCUACCAAGGCGACGACGGGUAGCCGGCCUGAGAGGGUGACCGGCCACACUGGGACUGAGAUACGGCCCAGACUCCUACGGGAGGCAGCAGUGGGGAAUAUUGCACAAUGGGCGCAAGCCUGAUGCAGCGACGCCGCGUGAGGGAUGACGGCCUUCGGGUUGUAAACCUCUUUCAGCACCGACGAAGCGCAAGUGACGGUAGGUGCAGAAGAAGGACCGGCCAACUACGUGCCAGCAGCCGCCGUAA